rnacentral:rRNA from 1 species
AUGAAUUUCUUGGCAUGCAACUGUCGAGGGUUAGGAUUGACCUCGACAGUAGGCAAACUAAGGGAUCUCAUUAAAUCUCACAAUCCUUCUGUGGUUUUUCUCAGUGAAACCCUGAAAUCUGGCAGGGCGAUGGAGAGGCUUAAGUGGAGUUUGGGAUUCAAACAAGGUGUUGCGGUGGACUGUGUUGGCCGUAGUGGUGGUCUUGCGCUGUGGUGGAGGGAUGGUAUCAAGGUGUCAGUGUGGCCGUGGUGCCAAUACUACACCGAUGCUGAACUGACUUGGGAGGGGAAGAACUAUAGAUUCACUAGAUUCUAUGGUGAACCAAAAACGGAUCUCCGCAAUCGAUCCUGGGAUGGCAUUCGGUAUUUGCAUGCGCAAGAUAAUCUCCCAUGGAUAUGCCUUGGUGAUUUUAAUGAGGCCUUGUUUCAGUCGGAUCAGCGGGGCGGGAACCUACGUCCUUUUGACCAAAUGGAGGCUUUUCGUGAUUGUCUUGUUGAUUGUGGACUUGCGGACUUGGGCUUCUCGGGUUACCCUUAG